CCUACGGGCGGCAGCAGUCGAGAAUCAUUCACAAUGGGGGAAACCCUGAUGGUGCGACGCCGCGUGGGGGAAUGAAGGUCUUCGGAUUGUAAACCCCUGUCAUGUGGGAGCAAAUUAAAAAGAUAGUACCCCAAGAGGAAGAGACGGCUAACUCUGUGCCAGCAGCCGCGGUAAUACAGAGGUCUCAAGCGUUGUUCGGAAUCACUGGGCGUAAAGCGUGCGUAGGCUGUUUCGUAAGUCGUGUGUGAAAGGCGCGGGCUCAACCCGCGGACGGCACAUGAUACUGCGAGACUAGAGUAAUGGAGGGGGAACCGGAAUUCUCGGUGUAGCAGUGAAAUGCGUAGAUAUCGAGAGGAACACUCGUGGCGAAGGCGGGUUCCUGGACAUUAACUGACGCUGAGGCACGAAGGCCAGGGGAGCGAAAGGGAUUAGAUACCCGAGUAGUC
rnacentral:rRNA from 1 species